UUCCAGACUCCUACGGGAGGCAGCAGUGAGGAAUAUUGGUCAAUGGCCGAGAGGCUGAACCAGCCAAGUCGCGUGAGGGAUGACGGCCCUACGGGUUGUAAACCUCUUUUGUCGGGGAGCAAAAGACGCCACGCGUGGCGUUCCGAGAGUACCCGAAGAAAAAGCAUCGGCUAACUCCGUGCCAGCAGCCGCGGUAAUACGGAGGAUGCGAGCGUUAUCCGGAUUUAUUGGGUUUAAAGGGUGCGUAGGCGGAAUGCCAAGUCAGCGGUAAAAUCGCGGGGCUCAACCUCGCUCCGCCGUUGAAACUGGCGUUCUUGAGUGGGCGAGAAGUAUGCGGAAUGCGUGGUGUAGCGGUGAAAUGCAUAGAUAUCACGCAGAACUCCGAUUGCGAAGGCAGCAUACCGGCGCCCAACUGACGCUGAAGCACGAAAGCGUGGGUAUCGAACAGGAUUAGAUACCCGUGUAUA
rnacentral:rRNA from 1 species